rnacentral:rRNA from 1 species
GUGGGGAAUCUUCCGCAAUGGGCGAAAGCCUGACGGAGCAACGCCGCGUGAGUGAUGAAGGCCUUCGGGCUGUAAAACUCUGUUGUCAGGGACGAAGGUGCAUCUUUCGAACAGAUGGGUGUAUUGACGGUACCUGACGAGGAAGCCACGGCUAACUACGUGCCAGCAGCCGCGGUAAUACGUAGGUGGCAAGCGUUGUCCGGAAUUAUUGGGCGUAAAGAGCAUGUAGGCGGGCUUUUAAGUCCGGCGUGAAAAUGCGGGGCUCAACCCCGUAUGGCGUUGGAAACUGGAAGUCUUGAGUGCAGGAGAGGAAAGGGGAAUUCCCAGUGUAGCGGUGAAAUGCGUAGAUAUUGGGAGGAACACCAGUGGCGAAGGCGCCUUUCUGGACUGUGUCUGACGCUCAGAUGCGAAAGCCAGGGUAGCAAACGGGAUUAGAUACCCGGGUAGUCC